GUGUCAGCAGCCGCGGUAAGACGAACCGUGCGAACGUUGUUCGGAUUCACUGGGCUUAAAGGGCGCGUAGGCGGGUCCUAAAGUCCGGGGUGAAAUCCUCUCGCUUAACGAGAGAACUGCCCCGGAUACUGAGGAUCUCGAGGAAGGUAGGGGCAUGUGGAACUUCCGGUGGAGCGGUGAAAUGCGUAGAUAUCGGAAGGAACGCCGGUGGCGAAAGCGACGUGCUGGACCUUUUCUGACGCUGAGGCGCGAAAGCCAGGGGAGCAAACGGGAUUAGAUACCCCCGUAGUCC
rnacentral:rRNA from 1 species